UUGGAGAAAUUUCUGCAGAUGACAGGUAUAUAAUAAAUCGAUUAUUAAGUGAUCAACAAUUAUUUUGCUGCUCUUAUUCAUUGUCAAUUUUCAAAACUAAAAUAUUGUUUGUACAAACAUAAACAUACAUAAUCAUUAAUUGAUAAAAAAAACUCCACAACAAAACUAAAACUUAGAACAUAUUAUAUAAUGAUGUUGUGAUGACUUUUGCAUAGAAUAUAUUUCAUUGUGUUAAAUUUGGGUAUGAACUAAACUCAUAUAUUAAGCUUUUUAAUGUAAUAUAAUUAAAUGAGUAAUAUCCCUGAAAAUUUCUUAUCAACAGGAUAAAUAAAUAAAUACUGCCUCUAGUAACCACUCUACUAUGAUUUACAUCACAGACCUGAUAACACACAGGUCAGAUCGUAAAUUCUGCUACAGUCCAGACUGUUCCAUGUGAUUUAUUUGGGGGGAAGCAACAGUUACUUUGUACAUUUUAUAUGAUGAGUCUGUUUAGAAGGACUUUGCAAAGUUUUUUUUAAAGAUAUUUAUUAUGAAUUUUGGAUUCCUUUUCCGUUUAUUUUCUGGUAUUUUUUAUAUAAUUGUGAAAAUAAAACGAUGGGUUGGAUUAUCCCUGUUUACCAUCAUAUCAUGGACUUGUCCAUAAUUUGAAAUCUAGGAAAUAUGGGUCAGCAGAAGCUUAGACAGUGGAAAUAAAGCAAAUAACAAAGGAUUUUAUUGAUAGUUAAAAAUUGUGGUGAUAAUAUAUAAGCAAUUUUUGAGAUAAUAUUUUGUUUAAAGUGUAAGGAUUGAAUAUUUUUGAAUUUUUCAAAGAAAAAAAAAUAAGACUUAGCCUUGUGAAUGAAAAUGACAAUAAUCUGGAUAUGCUCAGUUGUAAAUGAAUUUUGAAUGCUACAUUAUGACCUUGGAUAAGAAGAUAAAUACCAAUAUCAUAAAAAUUCAGGAUAUGUCUCAAGCUGGUGUAAAAAGAAUGGGAGGGGAGGAGUCACGGACAAGGAUAUUAACGAUACCAUAAGUUAAAGCAGAUCAGUUAUGCUUGGAAUAAAAAUGAAAACAACUGGCUGAACAAAAAACAUUUACAGUGAAAUAAAAUGAAAUAAUUUGCCAUGGAUUAAAACAAUACAAUAGCAGUGCAAUAAAAAAUAUAACUCGU